rnacentral:rRNA from 1 species
AUUGAACGCUGGCGGCAUGCCUUACACAUGCAAGUCGAACGGCAGCACGGGGGCGAACCCUCGGUGGCGAGUGGCGAACGGGUGAGUAAUACAUCGGAACGUGCCCCGUACGCGGGGGACGAACCAGUCGAAAGACUGGCUAAUACCGCAUACGCUCCACGGAGGAAAGACAGGGGAGUCGCAAGACCUUGCACUAUGGGAGGCGGCCGAUGCCCGAUUAGCUAGUUGGUGAGGUAAAGGACUCACCAAGGCAACGAUCGGUAGCUGGUCUGAGAGGACGACCAGCCACACUGGGA